UACGAAGGGUGCAAGCGUUACUCGGAAUUACUGGCGUAAGCGUGCGUAGGUGGUUGUUAAGUCUGUUGGUGAAAGCCCCGGGCUCAACCUGGGAAUGGCAAUGGAUACGUGGCAGGCUAGAGUGCGGUAGAGGGUAGUGGAAUUCCGGUGUAGCGGUGAAAUGCGUAGAGAUCGGGAGGAACACCAGUGGCGAAGGCGGCUACCUGGACCAGCACUGACACUGAGGCACGAAAGCGUGGGGAGCAAACAGG
rnacentral:rRNA from 1 species